UACGAGGGGUGCAAGCGUUAUUCGGAAUUAUUGGGCGUAAAGGGUGCGUAGGCGGCGCGUUAAGUCAACUGUUAAAUCUCCUGGCCUAACUGGGAGCUUGCAGUAGAAACUGGCGUGCUAGAGUUUGGAAGAGAGAAGUGGAAUUCUCGGAGUAGCGGUAAAAUGCGUAGAUCUCGAGAGGAACACCGAUGGCGAAGGCAGCUUCUUGGUCCAUAACUGACGCUGAGGCACGAAAGCGUGGGGAGCAAACAGG
rnacentral:rRNA from 1 species